AAAUUGAAGAGUUUGAUCAUGGCUCAGAUUGAACGCUGGCGGCAGGCCUAACACAUGCAAGUCGAACGGUAACAGAAAGCAGCUUGCUGCUUUGCUGACGAGUGGCGGACGGGUGAGUAAUGUCUGGGAAACUGCCUGAUGGAGGGGGAUAACUACUGGAAACGGUAGCUAAUACCGCAUAACGUCGCAAGACCAAAGAGGGGG
rnacentral:rRNA from 1 species